AUCCGGUACGAGGACAGUGUCAGGUGGGCAGUUUGACUGGGGCGGUCGCCUCCUAAAGAGUAACGGAGGCGCCCCAAGGUUCCCUCAGAAUGGUUGGAAAUCAUUCGAAGAGUGCAAAGGCAGAAGGGAGCUUGACUGCGAGACCUACAAGUCGAGCAGGGACGAAAGUCGGGCUUAGUGAUCCGGUGGUACCGCAUGGAAGGGCCAUCGCUCAACGGAUAAAAGCUACCCUGGGGAUAACAGGCUUAUCUCCCCCAAGAGUCCACAUCGACGGGGAGGUUUGGCACCUCGAUGUCGGCUCAUCGCAUCCUGGGGCUGAAGUAGGUCCCAAGGGUUGGGCUGUUCGCCCAUUAAAGCGGUACGCGAGCUGGGUUCAGAACGUCGUGAGACAGUUCGGUCCCUAUCUGUCGUGGGCGUAGGAAAUUUGAGAGGAGCUGUCCUUAGUACGAGAGGACCGGGAUGGACGUACCGCUGGUGUACCAGUUGUUCCGCCAGGAGCACCGCUGGGUAGCUAUGUACGGAAGGGAUAAGCGCUGAAAGCAUCUAAGCGUGAAGCCCCCCUCAAGAUGAGAUUUCCCA
rnacentral:rRNA from 2 species